rnacentral:rRNA from 1 species
AAGCGGAGGAAAAGAAACUAACAAGGAUUCCCCUAGUAACGGCGAGUGAAGCGGGAAGAGCUCAAAUUUGAAAUCUGGCGGUCUACGGCCGUCCGAGUUGUAAUCUAGAGAGGUGUUUUCCGUGCCGGACCGUGUACAAGUCCCUUGGAACAGGGCGUCAUAGAGGGUGAGAAUCCCGUCCAUGACACGGACUGCCGGUGCUCUGUGAUACACCUUCAAAGAGUCGAGUUGUUUGGGAAUGCAGCUCAAAAUGGGUGGUAAAUUCCAUCUAAAGCUAAAUACAGGCGAGAGACCGAUAGCGAACAAGUACCGUGAGGGAAAGAUGAAAAGAACUUUGGAAAGAGAGUUAAACAGUACGUGAAAUUGUUGAAAGGGAAACGCUUGAAGUCAGUCGCGUCUGCCGGGACUCAGCCUUGCUUUUGCUUGGUGCACUUCCCGGUGGAUGGGCCAGCAUCGAUUUUGGUCGCCGGAAAAGGGCUGGAGGAAUGUGGCAGCUUGCUGUGUUAUAGCCUCCUGUCGUACACGGUGAUUGGGAUCGAGGACUGCAGCACGCCUUUGGUCGGGGUUCGCCCACGCCACGUGCUUAGGAUGCUGGCGUAAUGGCUUUAAACGACCCGUCUUGAAACACGGACCAAGGAGUCUAACAUGCCUGCGAGUGUUUGGGUGUAAAACCCNGGCGCGUAAUGAAAGUGAAAAGUUGGGACUCUUUAGUGAGGCACCGACGCCCGAUCCUGAAGUUCUCUGACGGAUUUGAGGCAGAGCAUGUAUGUUGGGACCCGAAAGAUGGUGAACUAUGCCUGAAUAGGGUGAAGCCAGAGGAAACUCUGGUGGAGGCUCGUAGCGAUUCUGACGUGCAAAUCGAUCGUCAAAUUUGGGUAUAGGGGCGAAAGACUAAUCGAACCAUCUAGUAGCUGGUUCCUGCCGAANUUUCCCUC